GAGACUUCAGUUCAGAGCCGCGGAGAGGAGCUUUAACUACAGUAGUGGGGUGUGUUGUACACAAGUGGCAUACUUGCAAGAGUUAUUUUAACGAGUGAAACACAUUUAGUCAUCAUUUUCCAAUGGACUUUAACUUCGGUUACGCACUGCAAAAAAAAAAAAACAACAAAGAAAAAAAAAACAGAAGUCCUGAUUGAACACAGACUGGUAACGUUUUACUGCUACACUUGCACUCCACCUGAAGCCGAGAAGGGAGCACACAACUGCUUUCCAGAGAUGACUCAUGUUUACAGGGACAAACAGCACAGAUGAAAAAGCUACCAAUAGUCUACAAAACCACUGAACUGUGAAAACUGCUCCAGUGGACCACACGCUUCUAGACAUCAGGUUAUCAAGAAAGAAGAGGCAGCAAUGUGACCAGAAGCUUCCAGACGGCAACUUCAAAGCUUCACUAAACACAACAAGAAGCAGCCCCUCCAGGCUGAGCCAGACGAUUAAACAGUUGUGCCAUAAAAUUAGGAAAUGAUUAAGUCUGUGGGCUGCCAAAUUCUCUUGGCACAUCCAGUUGAUGUGCGCACGCCUAAAUUCAAAAGACUACCAGCUUUGUUUCUACCUUGCAACAAAAAGCCACACCUCCUUCGUAAUUAGUGAAGUUGUGGCUCAGCCUUUGGAACCAUUUACAUUCACGGUAAUGCCAUCGACAUUCACGGUUUUGUGAAAAUAAGAAGAACCUGAACACCUCUUCAUCUAUUUAGAAUGGAUUAAGAAAUCUAUUAAGUUAUGAGAUGAUCAAGACGAUUGCAGAAUCUUGGUAUAACAAACCAGAAUUAUGAAGUGCACUAGCUAUGUUAUUCAUGAUUUAGGGCUACCUCCCAUUGAGUUUUAUCUGCAGGCUCUGCUCAGAUCACAACCUGCUUGACAUAAUAGGCUGGAGAGGGUCACCACAGAGCAAAAGAAGGAACCACUGCAUUUUACCUUUAAAAAAAAAAAAAAAAAAAAAAAACGACAAAAAAAAAAAAACAUUUAAUUUCAGUGUCGAAAGAUGAACAAUUUGAAGGAUGUCCUUGUUUGUUCUCUCAACUUAAAGACCAAAUUCAUUAUGUCUCUUCCAGAUCUUUUAACAAAUCUAUCAAAUCUAUUUAUUUGUAUGUGAUGUUUGCUUCAGUGAACAUUCAACGCUGUCGGUGAGUUUAAGAUAAAUGUGAAAAAACCAUCGACCGUUGAUUGUACCCUGCAGCCAGCGUUCAUCUGCAUGGCGGCGAUUGCGCAAGCAGUGGCUUUCAGCUGUUGAGCCUGUGAGCGUGGACAGUUAUUGUGUUUUUUUGUCCGGAACAAGAUGCAGCAAAGGUCACAGUCAACAUUCAUUGCUGUCGGUGGGUUUAACUGUGGAAAAGCUCGCUGAACAAUGAAUGCAACUGUGGCCCAGAUUUUAGCAUGUAUCCAGUGGAGGCGUUGAUUUUUAAUUACCACUCACCUGCUUCACUAAAGAAAGAGAAGAUACGCAGCUUGUCAUUAUCUGCUAUUCUUUUUCAUUUUGUUACUAAUUAAGAUUUUGUUUUUCGUGAGUCAAAAAUAAGCUUGACGACAGCCUUAUUCAUGUACAUAUUCAUGUACUUAUUCAUGUACAUUUCCACAGAGGUGAUAUGUGCAAGAUAUAUGUUUGUUAGUUAUUAAUGCAUUAAUAAAUCAGUAUACAUAAUAUUGCUUAGAAGAGAAGCUUAUAAUUUGCAGCUAUCUAUAAUAUAUAAGAGACUAGAUGCCACUACAUUUUCUUCUGUAUUUUUCUUGUUCUUGUUUCUGUAUUAAAAUAUAGUACUUACUGAUAA